CUUUGAUUGGCUCUUGCCAAUAGAUGCCCAAGUACCCCAGUAAAUUGGCUCCUGUGCCUAGGCACCCCAAUAAAGUGGUCCUUGGCGCAGCUUGGAUCCUUUAAUGAAAGCUCUCCCCAGCUGUUCCCACUUCCUAUAACCUCCGAUCUAGUACUAACUAGUACGAUAUUUAGCAUACCGCAAUACAAAAAUAAAGUGGCUCGAUCCUCCUUUUCCUACAGAGCACCGCAAUUAUGUAAUAAUCUCAGGGACACAGUCAAAUCUUAAUUCAAUCUAAAAUCGUUUAAGAGAUCUAUGGCAAUACACCUCAGCACAUAAUGCACCUGUCAUGAUUGACUAUAUUUAUUACCUGUUAUGUAUUAAAUUUAAAUAUGUG